rnacentral:rRNA from 1 species
AGGACGAACGCUGGCGGCGUGCUUAACACAUGCAAGUGGAGCGACGAACCAGGGCUUGCCCUGGGGCAGAGCCGCGAACGGGUGAGUAACACGUGGGUUACCUGCCUUGAUGACUGGGACAACCCGGGGAAACUCGGGCUAAUACCGGAUGUGCCCGCAAGGGGAAAGGAAGCUUCGGCCUCCGCAUCAAGAUGGGCCCGCGGCCCAUUAGCUUGUUGGUGAGGUAACGGCUCACCAAGGCUUCGAUGGGUAGCUGGUCUGAGAGGACGAUCAGCCACACUGGGACUGAGACACGGCCCAGACUCCUACGGGAGGCAGCAGUGGGGAAUCUUGCGCAAUGCGCGAAAGCCUGACGCAGCCAUGCCGCGUGAAUGAUGAAGGUCUUAGGAUUGUAAAAUUCUUUCAGCGGGGACGAUAAUGACGGUACCCGCAGAAGAAGCCCCGGCUAACUUCGCGCCAGCAGCCGCGGUAA